rnacentral:rRNA from 1 species
GUCGAGGGGUAACAGAAAAGCUUGCUUUUGCUGACGACCGGCGCACGGGUGUGUAACGCGUAUGCAACCUACCUCAUACUGGAGGAUAGCCCCUGGAAACGGGGAUUAAUACUCCAUAGUAUCACAAUUUCGCAUGUUAUUGUGAUUAAAGUUUUUCGGUAUGAGAUGGGCAUGCGUCCCAUUAGCUUGUUGGUGAGGUAACGGCUCACCAAGGCAACGAUGGGUAGGGGGCCUGAGAGGGUGGUCCCCCACACUGGUACUGAGACACGGACCAGACUCCUACGGGAGGCAGCAGUGAGGAAUAUUGGUCAAUGGAGGAAACUCUGAACCAGCAUGCCGCGUGAAGGAUGACGGCCCUAUGGGUUGUAAACUUCUUUUAUAGAGGAAGAAACUUGUCUACGUGUAGACAACUGACGGUACUCUACGAAUAAGGAUCGGCUAACUCCGUGCCAGCAGCCGCGGUAAUACGGAGGAUCCAAGCGUUAUCCGGAUUCAUUGGGUUUAAAGGGUCCGUAGGCGGAUUUUUAAGUCAGUGGUGAAAGCCGACAGCUCAACUGUCGAACUGCCAUUGAUACUGGAAAUCUUGAGUACAAAUGAAGUAGGCGGAAUGAGUCAUGUAGCGGUGAAAUGCAUAGAUAUGACUCAGAACACCGAUUGCGAAGGCAGCUUACUAACAUGUAACUGACGCUGAGGGACGAAAGCGUGGGGAGCGAACAGGAUUAGAUACCCUGGUAGUCCACGCCGUAAACGAUCAUCACUCGCUGUUGGCGAUAUACUGUCAGCGGCCAAGCGAAAGUAUUAAGUGAUGCACCUGGGGAGUACGCCGGCAACGGUGAAACUCAAAGGAAUUGA